rnacentral:rRNA from 1 species
AGCGAACGCUGGCGGCAGGCUUAACACAUGCAAGUCGAGCGGGCAUCCUUGUGGUGUCAGCGGCAGACGGGUGAGUAACGCGUGGGAACGUGCCCUUCGGUUCGGAAUAACUCAGGGAAACUUGAGCUAAUACCGGAUACGUGCGAGAGCAGAAAGGUUUAUCUGCCGAAGGAUCGGCCCGCGUCUGAUUUGCUAGUUGGUGAGGUUAUGGCUCACCAAGGCGACGAUCAGUAGCUGGUCUGAGAGGAUGAUCAGCCACACUGGGACUGAGACACGGCCCAGACUCCUACGGGAGGCAGCAGUGGGGAAUAUUGGACAAUGGGGGCAACCCUGAUCCAGCCAUGCCGCGUGAGUGAUGACGGCCUUAGGGUUGUAAAGCUCUUUUCUCCGGGACGAUAAUGACGGUACCGGAGGAAUAAGCCCCGGCUAACUUCGUG